UACGUAGGGACCGAGCGUUGUCCGGAAUCAUUGGGCGUAAAAGAGCGUGUAGGCGGCCACUUAAGUCCUGCGUGAAAUCUUGCGGCUCAACCGCAAGCGGUCGUGGGAAACUGGGUGGCUAGAGUGCGGGAGAGGAGAGUGGAAUUCCUGGUGUAGCGGUGGAAUGCGCAGAUAUCAGGAAGAACACCCGUGGCGAAGGCGGCUCUCUGGAACGCAACUGACGCUGAGACGCGAAAGCGUGGGGAGCAAACAGG
rnacentral:rRNA from 1 species